rnacentral:rRNA from 1 species
UUCCGGUUGAUCCUGCCGAAGGCUACUGCUAUUGGAGUUCGAUUAAGCCAUGCGAGUCUAAGGGAUCUUCGGAUCCCUGGCGUAAUGCUCAGUAACACGUGGAUAAUCUACCCUCAGGUGGGGCAUAAACCCGGGAAACUGGGGCCAAUUCCCCAUAAAUACAGAUGGCUGGAAUGCUUCUGUAUUCAAAGCUCCGGCGCCUGAGGAUGAGUCUGCGGCCUAUCAGGUUGUAGUCAGGGUCAUGACCUGACUAGCCAGCGACGGGUAUGGGGUGUGAGAGCACUUGCCCAGAGAUGGUUUCUGAGACACGAAACCAGGCCCUACGGGGCGCAGCAGGCGCGAAAACUUCGCAAUGCGGGAAACCGUGACGAGGGGAUUCCAAGUGUCUAUGCAUUGCAUAGACUGUUUUUUAGCCUAAAUAGCUAUUAGAGUAAGGGGUGGGCAAGACCGGUGCCAGCCGCCGCGGUAACACCGGCACCUCGAGUGGUAGCCACUAUUAUUGGGCCUAAAGCGUUCGUAGCCGGUUUGGUAAAUUCUUGGGUAAAUCGUACCGCUUAACGGUGCGGAUUCCGAGGACACUACCAGACUUGAGACCGGGGGAGAUCAGAGGUACUUGUGGGGGAGCGGUGAAAUGUUGUAAUCCCACAGGGACCACCAGUGGCGAAGGCGUCUGAUCAGAACGGCUCUGACGGUGAGGAACGAAACCCUGGGGCGCAAACGGGAUUAGAUACCCCGGUAGUCCAGGGCGUAAACGCUGCUGACUUGGUGUUGGAGAUCCUACGAGGAUGUCCAGUGCUGGCGCGAAGGUAUUAAGUCAGCCGCCUGGGGAGUACGGUCGCAAGACUGAAACUUAAAGGAAUUGGCGGGGGAGCACUGCAACGUGUGGAGCGUGCGGUUUAAUUGGAGUCAACGCCGGA